CAACGAGGCUCAGAGAGAACUCCUGCUCACCAUCCUGGAAGGGGAUCCUCACAAAAUGCUCUCUUGAGGCUGGAAGGAUUCUUUAAAAUGUAUCAAAAAACAAUAAAGAGCAGAAGCACCAACGUCAAGUAUGAAAACGAAGUAGACGGAACCGACAUGCCCGGG